rnacentral:rRNA from 1 species
GGUUAAAAAGCUCGUAGUUGGAUUUCUGUCAGAAGCGUCUGGUCCGCACUUCGUGCGAGUAUCUGGAACGUUUGUGGCAUCCUCGCGGGGAACAGUGUGCGCUUUACUGCGUCGCUGGGAUUCGCGACUUUUACUUUGAGGAAAUUAGAGUGUUCACGGCAGGCAUGCGUCUUGAAUACAUUAGCAUGGAAUAAUAAUAUAGGGCCUCCGUCCUAUUUUGUUGGUUUCUAGGAUUGAGGUAAUGAUUAAUAGGGAUAAUUGGGGGCAUUCGUAUUAACGCGUCAGAGGUGGAAUUCUUGGAUUGCGUUACGACGAACUACUGCGAAAGCAUUUGCCAAGGAUGUUUUCAUUGAUCAAGAACGAAAGUAUAGGGAUCGAAGAUGAUUAGAUACCGUCGUAGUCUAUACCAUAAACUAUGCCGACUAGGGAUUGGAGGUUGUUCUAUUUUUGACGCCUUCGGCACCUUAUGAGAAAUCAAAGUCUUUGGGUCCCGGGGGGAGUAUGGUCGCAAGGCUGAAACUUAAAGGAAUUGACGGAAGGGCACCACC